GACGAACGCUGGCGGCGUGCUUAACACAUGCAAGUCGAACGGAAAGGCCCUGCUUUUGUGGGGUGCUCGAGUGGCGAACGGGUGCGUAACACGUGAGUAACCUGCCCUUGACUUUGGGAUAACUUCAGGAAACUGGGGCUAAUACCGGAUAGGAGCUCCUGCUGCAUGGUGGGGGUUGGAUAGUUUCGGCGGUUGGGGAUGGACUCGCGGCUUAUCAGCUUGUUGGUGGGGUAGUGGCUUACCAAGGCUUUGACGGGUAGCCGGCCUGAGAGGGUGACCGGCCACAUUGGGACUGAGAUACGGCCCAGACUCCUACGGGAGGCAGCAGUGGGGAAUAUUGCACAAUGGGCGGAAGCCUGAUGCAGCAACGCCGCGUGCGGGAUGACGGCCUUCGGGUUGUAAACCGCUUUCGCCUGUGACGAAGCGUGAGUGACGGUAAUGGGUAAAGAAGCACCGGCUAACUACGUG
rnacentral:rRNA from 1 species